rnacentral:rRNA from 1 species
CUACGGGGCGCAGCAGGCGCGAAACCUCCGCAAUGCGGAAAAAAUAAUUCGGGGGGACCCCGAAGUGCCUGGCACCGCCACAGCUUUUCCGGAGUGUAAAAAGCUCCGGGAAUAAGGGCUGGCAAGGCCGGUGGCAGCCGCCGCGGUAAUACCGGCGGCCCGAGUGGUGGCCGCUAUUAUUGGGCCUAAAGCGUCCGUAGCCGGGCCCGUAAGUCCCUGGCGAAAUCCCACGGCUCAACCGUGGGGCUUGCUGGGGAUACUGCGGGCCUUGGGACCGGGAGAGGCGGGGGGUACCCCUGGGGUAGGGGUGAAAUCCUAUAAUCCCAGGGGGACCGCCAGUGGCGAAGGCGCCCCGCUGGAACGGGUCCGACGGUGAGGGACGAAGGCCAGGGGAGCAAACCGGAUUAGAUACCCGGGUAGUCCUGGCUGUAAAGGAUGCGGGCUAGGUGUCGGGUGAGCUUCGAGCUCGCCCGGUGCCGUAGGGAAGCCGUUAAGCCCGCCGCCUGGGGAGUACGGCCGCAAGGCUGAAACUUAAAGGAAUUGGCGGGGGAGCACUACAAGGGGUGGAGCGUGCG